rnacentral:rRNA from 1 species
UACGUAGGGGGCAAGCGUUGUCCGGAAUCAUUGGGCGUAAAGAGCGUGUAGGCGGCCCGGUAAGUCCGCUGUGAAAGUCCAGGGCUCAACCCUGGGAUGCCGGUGGAUACUGUCGGGCUCGAGUCCGGAAGAGGAGUGUGGAAUUCCUGGUGUAGCGGUGAAAUGCGCAGAUAUCAGGAGGAACACCGGUGGUGUAGACGGCUUUCUGGACCGUAACUGACGCUGAGGCACGAAGGUCAGGGGAGCAAACGGG